rnacentral:rRNA from 1 species
AGAGUUUGAUCCUGGCUCAGGAUGAACGCCGGCGGUGUGCCUAAUACAUGCAAGUCGUACGCACUGGCCCAACUGAUUGAUGGUGCUUGCACCUGAUUGACGAUGGAUCACCAGUGAGUGGCGGACGGGUGAGUAACACGUAGGUAACCUGCCCCGGAGCGGGGGAUAACAUUUGGAAACAGAUGCUAAUACCGCAUAACAACAAAAGCCACAUGGCUUUUGUUUGAAAGAUGGCCUUGGCUAUCACUCUGGGAUGGACCUGCGGUGCAUUAGCUAGUUGGUAAGGUAACGGCUUACCAAGGCGAUGAUGCAUAGCCGAGUUGAGAGACUGAUCGGCCACAAUGGAACUGAGACACGGUCCAUACUCCUACGGGAGGCAGCAGUAGGGAAUCUUCCACAAUGGGCGCAAGCCUGAUGGAGCAACACCGCGUGAGUGAAGAAGGGUUUCGGCUCGUAAAGCUCUGUUGUUGGAGAAGAACGUGCGUGAGAGUAACUGUUCACGCAGUGACGGUAUCCAACCAGAAAGUCACGGCUAACUACGUGCCAGCAGCCGCGGUAAUACGUAGGUGGCAAGCGUUAUCCGGAUUUAUUGGGCGUAAAGCGAGCGCAGGCGGUUGCUUAGGUCUGAUGUGAAAGCCUUCGGCUUAACCGAAGAAGUGCAUCGGAAACCGGGCGACUUGAGUGCAGAAGAGGACAGUGGAACUCCAUGUGUAGCGGUGGAAUGCGUAGAUAUAUGGAAGAACACCAGUGGCGAAGGCGGCUGUCUGGUCUGCAACUGACGCUGAGGCUCGAAAGCAUGGGUAGCGAACAGGAUUAGAUACCCUGGUAGUCCAUACCGUAAACGAUGAGUGCUAGGUGUUGGAGGGUUUCCGCCCUUAAGUGCCGGAGCUAACGCAUUAAGCACUCCGCCUGGGGAGUACGACCGCAAGGUUGAAACUCAAAGGAAUUGACGGGGGCCCGCACAAGCGGUGGAGCAUGUGGUUUAAUUCGAAGCUACGCGAAGAACUUUACCAGGUCUUGACAUCUUGCGCUAACCUUAGAGAUAAGGCGUUCCCUUCGGGGACGCAAUGACAGGUGGUGCAUGGUCGUCGUCAGCUCGUGUCGUGAGAUGUUGGGUUAAGUCCCGCAACGAGCGCAACCCUUGUUACUAGUUGCCAGCAUUAAGUUGGGCACUCUAGUGAGACUGCCGGUGACAAACCGGAGGAAGGUGGGGACGACGUCAGAUCAUCAUGCCCCUUAUGACCUGGGCUACACACGUGCUACAAUGGACGGUACAACGAGUCGCAAGCUCGCGAGAGUAAGCUAAUCUCUUAAAGCCGUUCUCAGUUCGGACUGUAGGCUGCAACUCGCCUACACGAAGUCGGAAUCGCUAGUAAUCGCGGAUCAGCAUGCCGCGGUGAAUACGUUCCCGGGUCUUGCACUCACCGCCCGUCA